ensembl:lncRNA
CUCACCAGUGGGAGCUGAUAGAUAAGACUGCUCUCAUCCAUUGAAGAGCUGACCAGAAACGUGAACAGAGAGACUGCAACUGCACCUGAUGGGAUCCCUGCCAUAACAGUGAAGGCAGUGGAGAAGCCCUACACUGAUCUUGAAACUGUGCCACGCUAGUAGAGACCGGCUACAAGGAUGGGCAGCUGUUUUCGCAAAGUCAGCCAACCACUUGCUUCCAAAUGACCCUUAUCCAGAAGUAUCCGUGAGUGCCUCAUCAACAGAAAAUAAAGUGGAGACCUACCUCUCAGAGAAAAACGCACACAUAAGAAAAGCCGACCCACUUCAGUACUGGGAAGAACAUCCUAAUCUGUUUCCCUCUAUGGCUGCUGUUGCGAUCCCAGUGUGCCCCCUGUAGCUCUGUGGACAGUUUUGGAUUUGUUUACAUCUCACCCAACCGCUCACGGCAGAUGGCUGCACCUCUCUAAGCCUGGUUCUGCCGGAGGUUUCUUCCUGUUAAAAGGGAGUUUUUCUGAACACACUCUACCACCAACAAGGACAGCUCACCAGUGGGAACUGAUAGAUAAGACUGCUGAUGUGCUCUCAUCCAUUGAAGAGCUGACCAGAAACGUGAACAGAAAGACUGCACCUGAUGGGAUCCCUGCCAUAACAGAUGUGUUCUGUCCAGUGAAGGCAGUGGAGAAGCCCUACACUGAUCUUGAAACUGUGCCACGCUAGUAGAGACCGG